rnacentral:lncRNA from 1 species
UAUCUAUGAGGUAUCGGUGGUAGCUCGACUACAUGAGCGCUGGGGCGAGUCACCGUGUGCUUUUGUGACUUUGAAACCUGAAAUGGAAAAAUCUGAUAAACAACAAUUGAUUGAUGAUAUAAUGAAGUUUUCUCGGUCAAAUAUGCCUGCUUACUGGGUUCCAAGAUCAAUAGUGUUCGGGCCUCUGCCAAAAACAGCGACGGGGAAGAUUCAGAAACAUGUCCUCAGGGCCAAGGCAAGAGAGAUGGGACCUAUCAAGGAGAGCAAGUUAUAGCUAAUAUUCUGGUGCAAAAGACUUCUGGCUGUUGAAAAU